AAUUUGACUCAACACGGGGAAACUUACCAGCGCAAAACAAGGGUGGGAUUGACAGAUUGAGAGCUCUUUCUUGAUUCUUUGGAUAGUGGUGCAUGGCCGUUCUUAGUUGGUGGAGUGAUUUGUCUGCUUAAUUGCGUAACGAACGAGACCUCAACCUACUUACUAGACGCGUGAUUAAUUCAUCGCGUGUUCUUCUUAGAGGGACUGUGCGGAGACAAACGCAAGGAAGUUUGAGGCAAUAACAGGUCUGUGAUGCCC
rnacentral:rRNA from 1 species